rnacentral:rRNA from 1 species
GGGCCCGCACAAGCGGUGGAGCAUGUGGUUUAAUUCGAUGAUACGCGAGGAACCUUACCAGGGCUUAAAUGUAGUAUGACCGGUCUAGAAAUAGGCCUUCCCUUCGGGGCAGAUUACAAGGUGCUGCAUGGUUGUCGUCAGCUCGUGCCGUGAGGUGUUAGGUUAAGUCCUGCAACGAGCGCAACCCCUAUUCUUAGUUGCCAGCGGUUCGGCCGGGGACUCUAAGAAGACUGCCAGCGCAAGCUGAGAGGAAGGUGGGGAUGACGUCAAAUCAUCACGGCCCUUACGUCCUGGGCUACACACGUGCUACAAUGGCCGGUACAAACGGUUGCGAACCCGCGAGGGAAGCUAA